CCUUUACUACUAAUAUUAAUUUUUCAUACAUUUAAUAAAAAAGAUGACGCAAUUUUAUCCAAAAUUAUAUAAUUUUUCAUUUUUAAUUAUUUUUUGGUACUUGACAAGUGUGGCGUCAGCAGCUAGGAAACGGUACCUAUAUACGCAGUUCAGGCAAACGCCGCAAGCGACGCUCCGAUAGGGCAACGCGCAAUCGCAUCUUGGUUCACCGUGUAGUUAGAUAUAGAGUACAAGACAAGAAGAAGAAGACUAACGACAAAGUACCAAAAAGCAUGGUCUAUUAAGUUUUAUAACAAAGAUAAAUAAUAGGCGAACGAGUCGGAUAAAAUAUUGCUACACGCAUGUGGCCGAAUACGCCAUAAUUGGUGACCCCGACGUGAUCUCAUACAAAGGAUGAGAAAAAGAAGACGACUCGUUCGUCAGAUACGCCAGACACGUCGAUUGACGGAAACAAAGACAGUGAGGAUAAUCCUACAAUUGAAGACGAAGAAGAAGAUAUUCAACAGGAAGCUGAACCGAGGUUCCCAAAAGAAAAAAUGCCUGGAACACUUGCCGACACUACGUCAGCAGUUUCUUUGAUGACAUCGGAAGAUAUUCGAAAGCCCAAAACCAUGCAAAAGGGACUAAUAUAGACCCUUGGGGCCCUUUGUUCUGGUACACCGAAGAUAUAGUUCUGUUCAUAAAUACCGAGCCAAUAUUCAUACUUGCUCCCCCUCAUCGCGCAGGACCUUUCGACCCUUGAAGAGAAACUAAUUAUACCAUGAGAUUAGAUCGUCCGGCAUUGGAUACUCAAUUGGUACAUGGGACAGCGAGUACAAGCAAUAGUCCUGCUUUCAUGCGAAGUACAAGAAGCAGUACAUGUGACUUCCGAAUCGACGAGAGGAUUCUAGGAAACUCCAACUUUAGGACACGCUACAGUUUAGACGUUCCCUAACAAUUUUCUGAUAAUUGUGGGAUGAAAAAUGUCAUCUAGAGUAAGCCUCUGUGAAGGCAUAAGACCCCUUCAAGAAAUUCAAAUCCAAUCCCAUAAUUUUUGUAUUACCAUUCGUUGCUUUUACGAUCAUCUGAAAUCACUAACUCAUUAUAGAACACUGUAUUCAUCUUCCGAUAACUGCAUGUGAAAUAUAUUGCAUUGGUUUCUAAACGGCAUGGCGAAAUUGAACUCCCACAUCUUCGAUGAUACUCAGUUAAUGGAAUAAUAAGAAUUUUGUGAAUUGUUAUACAUAUUAUACAUUGAAAUAUAAGGCACGUUCUCAAGUACAA